rnacentral:rRNA from 1 species
GAACGCUGGCGGUGCGCCUUAUGCAUGCAAGUCGAGCGAAGCUUUUCAGUAGUUUACUACAGAAAAUGACUGAGCGGCGAACGGGUGAGUAACGCGUGAGCAAUCUACCUUAGUUACAGGGAUAGCCCGAGGAAACUCGGAUUAAUACCUGAUAUUCUUUAUUUCUCGCAUGAGAAUAAAAGGAAAGGUCAGCCGAACUAAGAUGAGCUCGCGUUCUAUCAGCUAGUUGGUGAGGUAAAAGCUCACCAAGGCUACGACGGAUAGCUGGUCUGAGAGGACGAUCAGCCACACUGGGACUGAGACACGGCCCAGACUCCUACGGGAGGCUGCAGCAGGGAAUAUUGCGCAAUGAGCGAAAGCUUGACGCAGCGACACCGCGUGUGGGAUGACGGAUCUAGGUUUGUAAACCACUUUCAGGAGGGAAGAAAAUGACGGUACCUCCACAAGAAGCCCCGGCCAAU